CACGUAGGGUGCGAGCGUUGUCCGGAAUUAUUGGGCGUAAAGAGCUCGUAGGCGGUGUGUCGCGUCGGCCGUGAAAACCUGCAGCUUAACUGUGGGCUUGCGGUCGAUACGGGCAUCACUGGAGUUCGGCAGGGGAGACUGGAAUUCCCGGUGUAGUGGUGAAAUGCGUAGAUAUCGGGAAGAACGCCCGUGGCGAAGGCGGCUCUCUGGGACGGUACUGACGCUGAGACGCGAAAGCGUGGGGAGUGAGCAGG
rnacentral:rRNA from 1 species